AACGCGAAGAACCUUACCGGGGCUUGACAUUGUCUUGCCCGUCUAAGAAAUUAGACCUUCUUCCUUUACCGGAAGACAGGAUAACAGGUGGUGCAUGGUUGUCGUCAGCUCGUGUCGUGAGAUGUUGGGUUAAGUCCCACGACGAGCGCAACCCUUAUGCUUAGUUGCUAACUUGUUUUACAAGUGCACUCUAUGCAGACUGCCGCAGAUAAUGCGGAGGAAGGUGGGGAUGACGUCAAAUCAUCAUGCCCCUUACGUCCCGGGCUACACACGUGCUACAAUGGUCUGUACAGAGGGUCGCGAAAGAGCGAUCUUAAGCCAAUCCCACAAAACAGGCCCCAGUUCGGAUUGGAGGCUGCAACUCGCCUCCAUGAAGUUGGAAUCGCUAGUAAUCGCGGAUCAGCAUGCCGCGGUGAAUACGUUCCCGGGCCUUGUACACACCGCCCGUCACACCACGAAAGUUGGCGAUACCUGAAGUUACUGGGCCAACCUGGCACUAAAACUUGUUUUAGUGCCAGGAGGCAGGUACCGAAGGUAUGGCUGGCGAUUGGGGUGAAGUCGUAACAAGGUAACCUUAAUUAAAA
rnacentral:rRNA from 1 species